rnacentral:rRNA from 1 species
AUACGGGGGGUGCAAGCGUUAUUCGGAUUUAUUGGGCGUAAAGAGCGCGUAGGCGGCUUGGUAAGUCAGAUGUGAAAGCCCGGGGCUCAACCCCGGAAGUGCAUUUGAAACUAUCAGGCUUGAGUAUGGGAGAGGGAAGUGGAAUUCCUGGUGUAGAGGUGAAAUUCGUAGAUAUCAGGAGGAACACCGGUGGCGAAGGCGACUUCCUGGACCAAUACUGACGCUGAGGCGCGAAGGCGUGGGGAGCAAACAGGAUUAGAUACCCCAGUAGUCC